AUGAACGCUAGUAGUAUGCUUAACACAUGCAAGUUGAACGGGGUUUACCCUCGUAGCGAACGGGUGAGUACGCACAGAACUUUUCCUUCUAGUCCAGCACAAAAAUUUUCUUAGAAAAUAAAAUUCUGGAUAUAUUUUAAAGGAUUUUUCCGCUAGAAGAUAAAUCUGUUUAAGAUUAGGUUGUUGGUAAUUUAAAAGCUUACCAAGCCUACGAUC
rnacentral:rRNA from 1 species